UCGAGCUUGCUCUUCUUGGUCAUGACCCUUGGUUCCUGUGUUGCCUUCCCAUCGUAUGGAAAAAUUCGUGAGACAGCCCCGCACCUGUCCUCGUUGUGGCUUUGCGGCUCCGAUGCGGACCUCGAAAGCGGUCCUCGUGUCCCGGGCAUAUCCUCUGACUUUUGUCGUGGUGGUCUCGGUCCACAGGACAACUGCUCGUGCUCCCGGAUGUGGAAAACUAAGCGGACGUGGGGGGGGGGGGGGGUCUCGGCCUCCGGCUGCUCCAAUCUAGUCCCUCGACAAGAAUGACUCUCGCUGCCCCAUCGACGGCCUGCGGCAUCGAUGCGGGUCCGAAGUCGAGAAAGAAUGCUACCUGGUUGAUCC
rnacentral:misc_RNA from 1 species